rnacentral:lncRNA from 1 species
UCUUGGAGUUCUAGCUCAUCUUUCUGGUAUUGUUCUUGUACUCAUCUGUUUAAUCUAGUUCUGUCGCUUCUUCUUGAACUUCUUGUUAGAUUUCAAGUCUGUAUUUUGUGUCCGUGACAGUUUGUCGAGACUACACUAACUUGAGAUAUCAGAGCUAGUUCUUUCUUAGUAGAGUGUGGAUUACCCCUCUACUUGAAGGUAUACUAGCAUUUUUUAGAGGUUGCGGAUUACCCUCCUCUAAACUGAUACUUCUUCUAUUACAAUAUUGGAGUCUUAUUCUUCUUGGAG